GACGAACGCUGGCGGCGUGCUUAACACAUGCAAGUCGAACGGAAAGGCCCUGCUUUUGUGGGGUGCUCGAGUGGCGAACGGGUGAGUAACACGUGAGUAACCUGCCCUUGACUUUGGGAUAACUUCAGGAAACUGGGGCUAAUACCGGAUAGGAGCUCCUGCUGCAUGGUGGGGGUUGGAAAGUUUCGGCGGUUGGGGAUGGACUCGCGGCUUAUCAGCUUGUUGGUGGGGUAGUGGCUUACCAAGGCUUUGACGGGUAGCCGGCCUGAGAGGGUGACCGGCCACAUUGGGACUGAGAUACGGCCCAGACUCCUACGGGAGACAGCAGUGGGGAAUAUUGCACAAUGGGCGGAAGCCUGAUGCAGCAACGCCGCGUGCGGGGUGACGGCCUUCGGGUUGUAAACCGCUUUCGCCUGUGACGAAGCGUGAGUGACGGUAAUGGGUAAAGAAGCACCGGCUAACUACGUG
rnacentral:rRNA from 1 species